AUCAGAAACUGAACUAAAAAUCGGGAAAGGGUGUGUAGGAAAGGGCGGGGCUUGUAGUGCAGCGGUUUAUGGAUACAGAAAGACUGCGCGAGGAGGAGACGAGGAAGAACGCAAUUGUCAUUAGGAGUCCAUUGAUGAUGUUCGCUUUUGAAGCCUUGGAAUACCCCAGGACUUCAAAGAACCAUCUACAAGAGAAAGAGGAUUAACAGAAAUCAAAUCAAUACAGGAAUACCCCGCUAUACGGACCUUCACUUUACGGACACUCGCGAGUAUGGACAUAUUUACAGUAGCACCAUUCCCCUGUUUAUGUACGCUCGCUUUGCAAGAACGGACACUUAACGUCAUGAUGCCACCGCCCGAUCAGUUUCCAACUACAAACUUGGAAGGCCUACUGUGUUUAUUUUAGUUAUAAAUGCGUUAUUUACAUCAGUUAUGCCCGUAUAUGAUGAUUGCGGUGCAGUAUAUGCAUCGAUAAGUGAAAAAAGGUACUCUUCACUUUAAGUACAUUUUCGGUUUACGUACUCGCUCUGGACCCAUUGCAUACGUUAAUGCGGGGUAUUCCUGUAGUGUAUUUUGUGAAAUACUCUGUUCCAUAUCUUUAUUAUUGUAACAUGAUGUCCUCAAUCUUCCUGGCAGAUCCAAACUAAUGGAACCUUAGCAAUGAAGUAGCAGAUCUAAACUAGAUACAUGAAAACUCUAAAAGCAGACAGAGUUCAGCACCCACUCCAUUUUAGCCUGCAAGAAAAGGCAGGUGCUGGAAAAGUGAAAGUCACAUCCUGCCAAAUCUUAGCAUCAUAGCUUUGCCCCCUUCUCUCUCCACAUGCAAGUAGACAAAACAGACGUCGGGCAGAUGCCAACGUAAUGGGAGUUGGUAUUGUUGCUGUUCGGUAGCUCAGUUCUACACCACUCUGAUAAAGCAGGAAUAUAUUCUCUCCCCAUAAGAUUCCCCAAUCUAGGUUUCUUAUACUGACAUAGUUUUCCCUGUGUUGUCCCAUGCUUCCACACAGUUUCUGCAUUUUUACAUAACCAAAGGUGCAUGAAAUGGGAGUCGGAGAGAUGCUAUUCUAUAAUGUACAUACUGGCCCCAAAAUGAAGCCGGAUGGUACCCAGCACACCUAGCAGGUUUCUCUUGGGCUCUGCCUCAGGUUUGUUUACCCAGAGCCUCACACAUGGGCAGAGCUCACAAAGUGCAAGUGGGACAGACCUAUGUUAAAGUUCAUAUAUUCCUUUUUGUGCAUAUAAGCAUACAGUAGGGCCCCGCUUAUAUGGCGGGUUAGGGACCAGGCCCCCGCCAUAAAGCAGAAAUCGCCGUAAAGUGGAACCCAUUGAAUAUAAUGGGUCGCGUCACGCAAAAAUGACGUCAAAAUGCCGCAAAAUCAGCUUUAAAACAGGGAAUUUCCCCUAAUUGAAAGCUGCCGCAUCAGCGGAACGCCGGAAAACAGAACGCCGUAAAGCGGGGCCCUACUGUACCAUCUAUUCAAAAACUUUCAUACUAAACAACAGCUUCAGAAAAUUAUCCUCUAGUUAGAACUACCAAAUAAGUAGGAAGGAAGGCUUAGAUCUGGUUUAGCUGACAAAUAUUCUCCAACAAAUCAAUAAAAAAUGUUGCUUCCAA